GUGACUGUCUCUUGGGUUCUGCCUGAGGUGCCUGUCACACUUUCCGAUGGCUGAUGGCUUCCACCGGAAACCUGCAGGACUUGGCCUUGAAUGGGUCUGGGGGUAGUUCUGCUCCCACCCCAGGGAAGGCCUUGAGAGGAACACAGAGGAGAGUGACCUGGGCCAGAAAAGUCCAGGAGCAUGCGCUCUUGGCAUGGAGACAGCGUCUAUCAUCUUGGAUGCCACAGAUAAUGGGGACGGUGGCCCGGAGCCGCCGAAGCCCCUCCCCCGCCCCUGCCCUCUCCUCUUCCAGGCG